CCUACGGGAGGCAGCAGUGGGGAAUCUUGCACAAUGGGCGAAAGCCUGAUGCAGCAACGCCGCGUGCGGGAAGAAGGCCCUCGGGUUGUAAACCGCUUUCAGAAGGAACGAAACUGACGGUACUUUCAGAAGAAGGUGCGGCCAACUACGUGCCAGCAGCCGCGGUGACACGUAGGCACCAAGCGUUGUCCGGAUUUAUUGGGCGUAAAGAGCUCGUAGGCGGUUCAGUAAGUCGGGUGUGAAAACUUUGGGCUUAACCCAAAGCGUGCAUCCGAUACUGCUGUGACUUGAGUACGGUAGGGGAGCGGGGAAUUCCUAGUGUAGCGGUGAAAUGCGCAGAUAUUAGGAGGAACACCGGUGGCGAAGGCGCCGCUCUGGGCCGAAACUGACGCUGAGGAGCGAAAGCAUGGGUAGCAAACAGGAUUAGAUACCCUGGUAGUCCAUGCGUAACGUAGGCACUAGUGUGGUCGACCAACGAANACGCGCGUCGCUACGCAUAGUAGCCCGCCGUCGGGAGGUACGGCCGCGAACGGUAAACGUACGAAGAAGUAGACGGCGUGAGACGUGCCGAACGGACGACGACGAGGGAGAGG
rnacentral:rRNA from 1 species